UCAAAACUUUCAACAACGGAUCUCUUGGUUCUGGCAUCGAUGAAGAACGCAGCGAAAUGCGAUAAGUAAUGUGAAUUGCAGAAUUCAGUGAAUCAUCGAAUCUUUGAACGCACAUUGCGCCCCUCGGUAUUCCGGGGGGCAUGCCUGUUCGAGCGUCAUU
rnacentral:rRNA from 1 species